rnacentral:rRNA from 1 species
UACGUAGGGGGCAAGCGUUGUCCGGAAUCAUUGGGCGUAAAGCGCGUGUAGGCGGCCCGGUAAGUCCGCUCUGAAAGUCCAGGGCUCAACCCUGGAAUGCGGGUGGAUACUGCCGGGCUCGAGUCCGGAAGAGGUGAGUGGAAUUCCUGGUGUAGCGGUGAAAUGCGCAGAUAUCCGAAGGAACACCGGUGGCGAAGGCGGCUUCCUGGACCGACACUGACGCUGAGGCGCGAAAGCUAGGGGAGCAAACGGG